rnacentral:rRNA from 1 species
UUAAGCGACUAAGCGUACACGGUGGAUGCCCUGGCAGUCAGAGGCGAUGAAGGACGUGCUAAUCUGCGAUAAGCGUCGGUAAGGUGAUAUGAACCGUUAUAACCGGCGAUUUCCGAAUGGGGAAACCCAGUGUGAUUCGUCACACUAUCAUUAACUGAAUCCAUAGGUUAAUGAGGCGAACCGGGGGAACUGAAACAUCUAAGUACCCCGAGGAAAAGAAAUCAACCGAGAUUCCCCCAGUAGCGGCGAGCGAACGGGGAGCAGCCCAGAGCCUGAAUCAGUGUGUGUGUUAGUGGAAGCGUCUGGAAAGGCGUGCGAUACAGGGUGACAGCCCCGUACACAAAAAUGCACAUACUGUGAGCUCGAUGAGUAGGGCGGGACACGUGGUAUCCUGUCUGAAUAUGGGGGGACCAUCCUCCAAGGCUAAAUACUCCUGACUGACCGAUAGUGAACCAGUACCGUGAGGGAAAGGCGAAAAGAACCCCGGCGAGGGGAGUGAAAAAGAACCUGAAACCGUGUACGUACAAGCAGUGGGAGCACGCUUAGGCGUGUGACUGCGUACCUUUUGUAUAAUGGGUCAGCGACUUAUAUUCUGUAGCAAGGUUAACCGAAUAGGGGAGCCGAAGGGAAACCGAGUCUUAACUGGGCGUUAAGUUGCAGGGUAUAGACCCGAAACCCGGUGAUCUAGCCAUGGGCAGGUUGAAGGUUGGGUAACACUAACUGGAGGACCGAACCGACUAAUGUUGAAAAAUUAGCGGAUGACUUGUGGCUGGGGGUGAAAGGCCAAUCAAACCGGGAGAUAGCUGGUUCUCCCCGAAAGCUAUUUAGGUAGCGCCUCGUGAAUUCAUCUCCGGGGGUAGAGCACUGUUUCGGCAAGGGGGUCAUCCCGACUUACCAACCCGAUGCAAACUGCGAAUACCGGAGAAUGUUAUCACGGGAGACACACGGCGGGUGCUAACGUCCGUCGUGAAGAGGGAAACAACCCAGACCGCCAGCUAAGGUCCCAAAGUCAUGGUUAAGUGGGAAACGAUGUGGGAAGGCCCAGACAGCCAGGAUGUUGGCUUAGAAGCAGCCAUCAUUUAAAGAAAGCGUAAUAGCUCACUGGUCGAGUCGGCCUGCGCGGAAGAUGUAACGGGGCUAAACCAUGCACCGAAGCUGCGGCAGCGACGCUUAUACGUUGUUGGGUAGGGGAGCGUUCUGUAAGCCUGUGAAGGUGUGCUGUGAGGUAUGCUGGAGGUAUCAGAAGUGCGAAUGCUGACAUAAGUAACGAUAAAGCGGGUGAAAAGCCCGCUCGCCGGAAGACCAAGGGUUCCUGUCCAACGUUAAUCGGGGCAGGGUGAGUCGACCCCUAAGGCGAGGCCGAAAGGCGUAGUCGAUGGGAAACAGGUUAAUAUUCCUGUACUUGGUGUUACUGCGAAGGGGGGACGGAGAAGGCUAUGUUGGCCGGGCGACGGUUGUCCCGGUUUAAGCGUGUAGGCUGGUUUUCCAGGCAAAUCCGGAAAAUCAAGGCCGAGGCGUGAUGACGAGGCACUACGGUGCUGAAGCAACAAAUGCCCUGCUUCCAGGAAAAGCCUCUAAGCAUCAGGUAACAUCAAAUCGUACCCCAAACCGACACAGGUGGUCAGGUAGAGAAUACCAAGGCGCUUGAGAGAACUCGGGUGAAGGAACUAGGCAAAAUGGUGCCGUAACUUCGGGAGAAGGCACGCUGAUACGUAGGUGAAGCGACUUGCUCGUGGAGCUGAAAUCAGUCGAAGAUACCAGCUGGCUGCAACUGUUUAUUAAAAACACAGCACUGUGCAAACACGAAAGUGGACGUAUACGGUGUGACGCCUGCCCGGUGCCGGAAGGUUAAUUGAUGGGGUUAGCGCAAGCGAAGCUCUUGAUCGAAGCCCCGGUAAACGGCGGCCGUAACUAUAACGGUCCUAAGGUAGCGAAAUUCCUUGUCGGGUAAGUUCCGACCUGCACGAAUGGCGUAAUGAUGGCCAGGCUGUCUCCACCCGAGACUCAGUGAAAUUGAACUCGCUGUGAAGAUGCAGUGUACCCGCGGCAAGACGGAAAGACCCCGUGAACCUUUACUAUAGCUUGACACUGAACAUUGAGCCUUGAUGUGUAGGAUAGGUGGGAGGCUUUGAAGUGUGGACGCCAGUCUGCAUGGAGCCGACCUUGAAAUACCACCCUUUAAUGUUUGAUGUUCUAACGUGGACCCGUGAUCCGGGUUGCGGACAGUGUCUGGUGGGUAGUUUGACUGGGGCGGUCUCCUCCUAAAGAGUAACGGAGGAGCACGAAGGUUGGCUAAUCCUGGUCGGACAUCAGGAGGUUAGUGCAAUGGCAUAAGCCAGCUUGACUGCGAGCGUGACGGCGCGAGCAGGUGCGAAAGCAGGUCAUAGUGAUCCGGUGGUUCUGAAUGGAAGGGCCAUCGCUCAACGGAUAAAAGGUACUCCGGGGAUAACAGGCUGAUACCGCCCAAGAGUUCAUAUCGACGGCGGUGUUUGGCACCUCGAUGUCGGCUCAUCACAUCCUGGGGCUGAAGUAGGUCCCAAGGGUAUGGCUGUUCGCCAUUUAAAGUGGUACGCGAGCUGGGUUUAGAACGUCGUGAGACAGUUCGGUCCCUAUCUGCCGUGGGCGCUGGAGAACUGAGGGGGGCUGCUCCUAGUACGAGAGGACCGGAGUGGACGCAUCACUGGUGUUCGGGUUGUCAUGCCAAUGGCACUGCCCGGUAGCUAAAUGCGGAAGAGAUAAGUGCUGAAAGCAUCUAAGCACGAAACUUGCCCCGAGAUGAGUUCUCCCUGACCCUUUAAGGGUCCUGAAGGAACGUUGAAGACGACGACGUUGAUAGGCCGGGUGUGUAAGCGCAGCGAUGCGUUGAGCUAACCGGUACUAAUGAACCGUGAGGCUUAACCUU